UACGUAGGGUGCGAGCGUUGUCCGGAAUUAUUGGGCGUAAAGAGCUUGUAGGCGGUCUGUCGCGUCUGCUGUGAAAAUCCGGGGCUCAACCCCGGACUUGCAGUGGGUACGGGCAGACUAGAGUGUGGUAGGGGAGACUGGAAUUCCUGGUGUAGCGGUGAAAUGCGCAGAUAUCAGGAGGAACACCGAUGGCGAAGGCAGGUCUCUGGGCCGUAACUGACGC
rnacentral:rRNA from 1 species